CCUACGGGAGGCAGCAGUAAGGAAUAUUGGUCAAUGGACGAAAGUCUGAACCAGCCAUGCCGCGUGAAGGAUGAAGGCCCUCUGGGUUGUAAACUUCUUUUAUCUGGGACGAAAAAAGCUCAUUCUUGAGCACUUGACGGUACCAGAGGAAUAAGCACCGGCUAACUCCGUGCCAGCAGCCGCGGUAAUACGGAGGGUGCAAGCGUUAUCCGGAUUCACUGGGUUUAAAGGGUGCGUAGGUGGGUCUGUAAGUCAGUGGUGAAAUCUCCGAGCUUAACUCGGAAACUGCCAUUGAUACUAUAGGUCUUGAAUCAUCUGGAGGUAAGCGGAAUAUGUCAUGUAGCGGUGAAAUGCUUAGAUAUGACAUAGAACACCAAUUGCGAAGGCAGCUUACUACGGGUGUAUUGACACUGAGGCACGAAAGCGUGGGGAUCAAACAGGAUUAGAUACCCUGGUAGUCCACGCCCUAAACGAUGGAUACUCGACAUCAGCGAUACACUGUUGGUGUCUGAGCGAAAGCAUUAAGUAUCCCACCUGGAAGUACGACCGCAAGGUUGAAACGUCAAAGGAAUUGACGGCUGAGACGNGCGACGGACGACGACGAGGGAGGAGG
rnacentral:rRNA from 1 species